rnacentral:rRNA from 1 species
UACGUAGGGGGCAAGCGUUGUCCGGAUUUAUUGGGCGUAAAGAGCGUGUAGGCGGCCAUACAGGUCAGCUGGGAAAACUCGAGGCUCAACCUCGAGACGUCGGUUGAAACCGUAUGGCUAGAGUCCGGAAGAGGAGAGUGGAAUUCCCGGUGUAGCGGUGAAAUGCGCAGAUAUCGGGAGGAACACCAGUGGCGAAGGCGACUACCUGGCCUGUUCUUGACGCUGAGGCGCGAAAGCUAGGGGAGCAAACGGG